rnacentral:rRNA from 1 species
GAUGAACGCUGGCGGCGUGCCUAAUACAUGCAAGUCGAGCGAAUGGAUUAAGAGCUUGCUCUUAUGAAGUUAGCGGCGGACGGGUGAGUAACACGUGGGUAACCUGCCCAUAAGACUGGGAUAACUCCGGGAAACCGGGGCUAAGCCCGGAUAACAUUUUGAACCGCAUGGUUCGAAAUUGAAAGGCGGCUUCGGCUGUCACUUAUAGAUGGACCCGCGGCGAAUUAGCUAGUUGGUGAGGUAACGGCGCACCAAGGCAACGAUGGGUAGCCGACCUGGGAGGGUGAUCGGCGACACUGGGACUGAGACACGGCCCAGACUCCUACGGGAGGCAGCAGUAGGGAAUCUUCCGCAAUGGACGAAAGUCUGACGGAGCAACGCCGCGUGAGUGAUGAAGGCUUUCGGGUCGUAAAACUCUGUUGUUAGGGAAGAACAAGUGCUAGUUGAAUAAGCUGGCACCUUGACGGUACCUAACCAGAAAGCCACGGCUAACUACGUGCCAGCCGCCGCAGUAA